ensembl:misc_RNA Y_RNA Y RNA
GGCUGGUCUGAGGGUAGUGAGUUAUCUCAACUGAUUGUUCACAGUCAGUUACAAAUCAAACUUCUUGUUCUACUCUUUGCCCCCUUCUCACUACUGCACUUGAGUAGUCUUAA